GGCGAACGCUGGCGGCGUGCUUAACACAUGCAAGUCGAACGGAAAGGCCCUGCUUUUGUGGGGUGCUCGAGUGGCGAACGGGUGAGUAACACGUGAGUAACCUGCCCUUGACUUUGGGAUAACUUCAGGAAACUGGGGCUAAUACCGGAUAGGAGCUCCUGCUGCAUGGUGGGGGUCGGAAAGUUUCGGCGGUUGGGGAUGGACUCGCGGCUUAUCAGCUUGUUGGUGGGGUAGUGGCUUACCAAGGCUUUGACGGGUAGCCGGCCUGAGAGGGUGACCGGCCACAUUGGGACUGAGAUACGGCCCAGACUCCUACGGGAGGCAGCAGUGGGGAAUAUUGCACAAUGGGCGGAAGCCUGAUGCAGCAACGCCGCGUGCGGGAUGACGGCCUUCGGGUUGUAAACCGCUUUCGCCUGUGACGAAGCGUGAGUGACGGUAAUGGGUAAAGAAGCACCGGCUAACUACGUG
rnacentral:rRNA from 1 species